AAUUUAAUGCGAAAAUAACGGGGCUCCUUUGGGUAGAUGCUAACGACUUCGUACGGGAAUAUGCAUCAUUGCUCCUCACUAUAUAUAUAUAUAUAUAUGUACACAUAUGUAUCUAUGUAUAUAUAUAUGUAUAUAUAUGUAUGUAAUGUACACACGUGUUUCUCAUCGUGUCACCCGGUUCAUAUCCACCUAUUUGUAAGAGAGACCGUAGAAACAGUCGCGUGUCCUUCUUCUCACUUAACCCCCACUGCCUCCUACCCCUUCCCGACCCUCCACCGCUUUAACGUUCUACUCUAUCCUUUUUCUCUGUCUCUCUCUCUCUCUCUCUCUCUCUCUCUCUCUCUCUUUUCUUCCUUUCUCUUUAUUUUUACUGUUUUAACUGCGGGAUACCGGUGACGGGUCACGUGUCGUGAGAUCUCCACCUUCACGAAUUUGCACGUACGCCUUGCUUCGAACAAGAUCUUCAUCCCUUACGUCAUUCCCGCCUGCAACAAAACGAAUGGACUUCGAAAGAUCACGAUUAACGAAAUGAUCAAUGCGAGAAUCUAAUCGAAUUUAACUCGUCUUCACGUAUAUCCCACCGACUGGAAUCUAAGGUGGACCCUUAGAUUCACUCGUUCCUAACCUUCAAUGAGAAACAUAUAUUGCGUAGAAUGAACGAAGAUAUAAAUAAACUUGAAUAAGCACG